ACGAACGCUGGCGGCAUGCCUAACACAUGCAAGUCGAACGCCCCGCAAGGGGAGUGGCGCACGGGUGAGUAACGCGUGGGGAUCUGCCCAUCGGUGGGGAAUAACCUCGGGAAACUGAGGCUAAUACCGGAUACGCCCUUUUGGGGAAAGGUUUACUGCCGAAGGAUCGGCCCGCGUCUGAUUAGCUUGUUGGUGGUGUAACGGCCUACCAAGGCGACGAUCAGUAGCUGGUCUGAGAGGAUGAUCAGCCACACUGGGACUGAGACACGGCCCAGACUCCUACGGGAGGCAGCAGUGGGGAAUAUUGGACAAUGGGCGCAAGCCUGAUCCAGCCAUGCCGCGUGAGUGAUGAAGGCCUUAGGGUUGUAAAGCUCUUUUGUCCGGGACGAUAAUGACGGUACCGGAAGAAUAACCCCCGGCUAACUUCGU
rnacentral:rRNA from 1 species